CAGUCGCCGCGGUAAAACGGAGGGUGCAAGCGUUAAUCGGAAUUACUGGGCGUAAAGCGCACGCAGGCGGUCUGACAAGUCAGAUGUGAAAUCCCCGGGCUUAACCUGGGAACUGCAUUUGAAACUGUCAGGCUGGAGUCUUGUAGAGGGGGGUGGAAUUCCAGGUGUAGCGGUGAAAUGCGUAGAGAUCUGGAGGAAUACCGGUGGCGAAGGCGGCCCCCUGGACAAAGACUGACGCUCAGGUGCGAAAGCGUGGGGAGCAAACAGGAUUAGAUACCCGAGUAGUCCCUGUCUCUUAUAA
rnacentral:rRNA from 1 species